rnacentral:lncRNA from 1 species
AUUAAUUUACCCAUCUCUUAUUAAUAUUUAUUAGCCCACACAAAUUAAAUAACUAGUUUGACCCAACAUAAAUGACAAAGUCCAAUUAAUAUGUUUUAAAACAAAAUAAUUUUUAUUAUGCAAUAUUUAUUUAUUAAUUUUUUAUCGGGUAUUACAUCACCUACCCCUUAAAAAGGAUUCCGUCCCCGGAAUUAAAAGAAUGAAAAGUACCUAAUUAUAAAAAAGAUGUGGAUAUUCCGCUUGAAUAGACUCCUCCAUCUCCCAAGUAGCUUCCCGCUCUGUAACAAAAGGAAUUAUCUUCCUCAAUUUUAAUUUUAUCAGUUAUUUAAUUAUCUACUAAAAGAAUUUAAUCUUCCAAACAAAACAAGGAAGAAAAGAGGGAAACAAAAUCAUUUACCUUUUUUUUUAAUUUAAACACAAUUGUAUAAGAUAAAAUCAAUUAAUAUAUAAUAAUAAAAAAAUGAGUUAUUACAUUUUUCACCCCUUAAAAAUAAUUCCGUCCUCGGAAUUCAAAUAAGAUACAAAAAAUAAUAAUUUAGUUACGACGUAGCGCCGCCAUUUGUAACGAUCAAGCCUGGUAAGUCCAUAGGUCUACACAAUUAUCCAUGUACUCGUAAAAGAUUCGUCGGCUACCGUGUCAAGCCUUCGUAAGGUUCUUCACGUUAAAUCACAUGAUCCACUGUUGGUGCAGGCCCCCCCGUUAAUAUCUUAGAGUUUCAUUCUUGCAAGCGUACGUACUCUUCGGAACAUAAUUCGAAAUCAUAAACAUUUUUCUUCAUCUAAAUACGAUUCAAAUAACCAAAAUAUUUAAAAUUAUUUUUAACUCGUUAAAAUGUUUAUAUUCCACACAUGACAAAGAUCUAACAAAUUAUUUUUAUUUAAUUUUACAUAAAUUCACGNNN